rnacentral:rRNA from 1 species
AGAGUUUGAUCAUGGCUCAGGAUGAACGCUAGCGGCAGGCCUAACACAUGCAAGUCGAACGGCAGCACGAACUUCGGUUUGGUGGCGAGUGGCGCACGGGUGCGUAACGCGUAUGCAACCUACCCUUUACAGGGGGAUAGCCCAGAGAAAUUUGGAUUAAUACCCCAUCGCAUAUGGAAUCGGCAUCGGUUUCAUAUUAAAGAUUCAUCGGUAAGGGAUGGGCAUGCGUUCUAUUAGCUAGUAGGUACGGUAACGGCGUACCUAGGCUACGAUAGAUAGGGGCCCUGAGAGGGGGAUCCCCCACACUGGUACUGAGACACGGACCAGACUCCUACGGGAGGCAGCAGUGAGGAAUAUUGGACAAUGGGCGAGAGCCUGAUCCAGCCAUGCCGCGUGCAGGAAGACGGCCCUAUGGGUUGUAAACUGCUUUUAUACAGGAAGAAACACCCCCUCGUGAGGGGGCUUGACGGUACUGUAAGAAUAAGGAUCGGCUAACUCCGUGCCAGCAGCCGCGGUAAUACGGAGGAUCCAAGCGUUAUCCGGAAUCAUUGGGUUUAAAGGGUCCGUAGGUGGAUGAUUAAGUCAGAGGUGAAAUCCUGCAGCUCAACUGUAGAAUUGCCUUUGAUACUGGUUAUCUUGAGUUAUUAUGAAGUAGUUAGAAUAUGUAGUGUAGCGGUGAAAUGCAUAGAUAUUACAUAGAAUACCAAUUGCGAAGGCAGAUUACUAAUAAUCAACUGACACUGAUGGACGAAAGCGUGGGGAGCGAACAGGAUUAGAUACCCUGGUAGUCCACGCCGUAAACGAUGGUCACUAGCUGUUCGGAUUUCGGUCUGAGUGGCUAAGCGAAAGUGAUAAGUGACCCACCUGGGGAGUACGUUCGCAAGAAUGAAACUCAAAGGAAUUGACGG